UUUACCUGCAACAUGCGUGGUGAUUGUUAGCCAGCCGCCUAAAGUGCAGUGUGCCUCUGAGAAGCGUGUGGACACCUGAAGACGUUCGUAUGCCGUGUUCCGUGUUUGUUGUCAGUGGCACAGUGCUGUCUCGAUAGCUGUCUCGUGGACAGUGGUAGUAGUCCCCUGAUGAUGGCGGGACUGCAACAGUUGCUCUCCUGUUUCCUUCUUCUUCUAAUUUCGGCGCUUUGUCCAGUGGUAAUGGCAGCACAGUACUGCAGCUUCUCCACCUAUGACUACAACAGCUACGAUGGUCGGUAUGAGCUCAUGGUGAGCUACAAGUCCUGCCAGUGGGGAUGCUGCUGGAAGUUCGAAGACCCUUGCUGCUCUCUGCCUGUCGGCCUGGUGAUUGGGUGCGUGGUGGCUGGGGUCCUCUUCAUCGGGUUGAUCACCCUCAUCACCUGCUGCUGCUGCGUGUGUCGCCGCAGGUCCGCUGCUGCUGCAAACGCAAGGCACGGCGCAGUGCUGUAUCCCUCGUACUCUGAUCCUUCAGGAACACAUAUACCUAUGAACAUGAUGCACUCCAGCUCCCUCCCACCCGGGGUAUACGCGCCGCCGCCAUCGUAUGAGGAAGUAAUGGCAGGGGAAACGAAUUUAGCCUUCAAACACGAGAACUGAGGGAAAUGUUUGAUGAGAGAAGCACCAUCUUUCAGAUGCAAUUGUCGACAGAUGCAAGCCGCUGACGACCUUCAAGGUCGACACGACUGAUGUCGAUGAUGAUGAUAACUGGAUGAUUGAUGAUGAUGAUUCAUAAACGGAAACAUAGCAUCAAAUAUACAGACAUACUAAUACAGUAUAAAAUAGCAAGAACAUAUCGUCUUGGCAAGGUGGAGAAAGGUUCGGUCUGAACACUUCAUUUGACGUUUUGAGUGAAGCUUUAGGUGUAACUAAGACGAGGGCCUUAUCUGGGUACCGACCGCGCAUUUUUCAACACAAGUUUGGAAGUACACGUGGAGCAAGAUACAUGACCGCACAACGCUUUUGUUAUCAAAAGUUCCGUCGAUUUAGAGUUGAAACCACUUCCUCUGUAUAACCCUUUGUUACAAAAAAAACGGGCAGAACUUUCUGAUUUGUUCCCCCAAUUAGCACCACUUUCAUCAGGUUUAAAUUGUUGAGAAAAACAGUUCUCCUCUUUUUUAUAAUCUCAUUUUUCUUUUUCCGGAUGUAUAAGAAAGAAAUGCGAAUUAUCUGGAGUGCAUGCUCUGUGAGACCGAUUAAGUACAUGACUGAGUAUGCAUGACAAAGAAUGUGAUGUCGAAAGAGGUUGUAGAGACAUUGUUGACACACACAUCUAAAAGCUAAGACACGGACGAUGUCUCCAGAAAGCACGUGGUUCGUAGACCAGAAAACUUCUUGAUCCAUAGAACCGUUACAGUUAAACGUGGCUACGAAAAUAAGCUGCUAAUAAUAGAUUGCCAAACGAAAAUCGGCUGCAGGUAUAUUUAAUAGACAAAGAUAUUUCUAGGAAGAAAUGACUUGGCACAAGCCUACAAGAACUAUUUAGUACACAGGUACACGAGGCAACGCAAAUCUCAUAUCAAUGGGAAGACACCGUAAGUCCACGUGGAUCCCCGGAUGAGACAAAAUGUGGGAGCAGGUAGGACAUCGAGCAACAGCUAAGACACCAAUCACAUAUCGGGAUACAUAAUUAUAUAAACACACGAAGCAACACAUCACAUCCCUGGGUACAGUAAAUAACAUUGUGGCCCUUUUUACACAAACUAUAAGAGAGACAAAAUUAAAACAUUUAUAGAUGAGCGCCGAAAAUAAAUCAAGAGCGCCUGUUUAAAAAAAAAAGUGUACAAGGACUAUUUAAAUUUUUGGUAUUCGUGAGUUGGGGAUGGUAUUAAGUGCCUAGAAGCUGGUCAUCUACCAAAAACAGACACAGGAUAACACGUGUGUUUGAGGAGAGUGUGUGUGUGGGUGUGAUAUCAUUAAACUUGUAUUUAUUGUAUCCUCAAGCUGUCAUUUCUUCAUCUGUAGGGAUCGUUAGCCUACUGUUCACAUUUCGUUCCUAUAGCAACAUUUUUAAGCAUGUAGAAAAUGGAGGCGCCUGAUUCUCGAAGCUGAUGGUUGUCAUUGUGAAUUUCUAGCGCAUGUACCCGAAACUUACCUCCCACUAUGAGAAAGGUUCACCCACUGCCUGUCUUUAACCACGCCUUCAGCUAUCCUGCAUCAAUCACCUGUACCGGUGAAUUGAUGAUAAUGCAUAGAACUGGAAUAUCUUGUGAGGAUGUUCAUAUGGAUAAUAAUUGUUCACAAAGCUUCUUAAACUGUAAAUAACUUGUGCAAAUGCAAAACAAAAUACAAUUGUAAGUUAUAUAAAAGCAAUAUAUUUUCUAGUGCUCACUUUUUUGACGAUUUAAAAAAAGAAAUGUUACAUUUGUUUUACUUAAUAAAAUUGUUAAAUGCCUUAUUUAAGGACAUAUAUUUAAUCAAGGAGAUUAUGCAGUGAUCUUUGACUUUUAUAAAGUUGAAUUUACUGCCGAAGAGCUUAAUUGCGUUUGACAAAAAUGUUUUGAUUGCAAGAUACUACCUGCUGAUGUAAAUUAAAACGUGUUUUAAUUACAAAAA